rnacentral:tRNA from 1 species
UAGAAAGUGGUGUAGUGGAAGCACUAAGAGUUUUGGUCUCUUUAGGUGGGGUUCAAAUCCCUUUUUUCUAG